ensembl:lncRNA
UAGCCAAUUUCACAAAUGCUACUACUUCAAAUGCUACUUUCCCUGCCACAGUGGACAACUCUAAAACCCCAUCAACAAUUCUACAAAUGUGACUUUCUCUGCCACAGGUUCUACUGCCUCGAUGGGGCCACGUCACAGACAAAAUGAUUGGUAUAAAACACCUGAAACCAGAGAAGAGGACUUACAGUUCGACCUUGCUAUCAUGGAGGGAGACAUUCUGGUUUCGGUGAGUCUAUGAUCUCUGCUUUCUCUCCUGUUACUUGCGUCUUUUAAGCUGAUGAAUCCAAUUGAUACCACCUUCUGGUAUACACAGCCUGAAGCUAAUGACUGCAAAAUAAUUCAAGCCAGAUUGUUGACUAGAAGUACAUUUGAACUUGCUCUACCGGUUGGUUGUCCAUGGUGUUGG